rnacentral:rRNA from 1 species
AACGCUGGCGGUAUGCCUAACACAUGCAAGUCGUACGAGAGUUUUUAUUAACUCUAGUGGCGGACGGGUGAGUAACACGUGAGAAUUUGCCUUUAGGAGGGGGAUAACAAUCGGAAACGAAUGCUAAUACCCCAUAUGCUUUUGAGUGAAAUGGAUUUAUAUUUAUCCGCCUAAAGAGAAGCUCGCGGCUGAUUAGCUUGUUGGUAAGGUAAGAGCUUACCAAGGCGACGAUCAGUAUCUGGUUUGAGAGGACGAUCAGACACACUGGAACUGAGACACGGUCCAGACUCCUACGGGAGGCAGCAGUGGGGAAUUUUCCGCAAUGGGCGAAAGCCUGACGGAGCAAUACCGCGUGAGGGAAGACUGCCUAUGGGUUGUAAACCUCUUUUUUCAGGGAGGAAUAAAAUGACGUGUACCUGAAGAAUAAGCAUCGGCUA